rnacentral:rRNA from 1 species
UACGGGGGGAGCAAGCGUUGUUCGGAUUUACUGGGCGUAAAGGGCGCGUAGGCGGCUUAACAAGUCACUUUGUGAAAUCUCCGGGCUUAACUCGGAACGGUCAAGUGAUACUGUCGGACUAGAGUACAGAAGGGGCAACUGGAAUUCUCGGUGUAGCGGUGAAAUGCGUAGAUAUCGAGAGGAACACCUGCGGCGAAGGCGGGUUGCUGGGCUGAUACUGACGCUGAGGCGCGAAAGCCAGGGGAGCGAACGGG